AAAUAGUGACAAUUUUUAAACACUUCCAGAGUUUGAAAACGCAACAGUUAGACACCGACGUAGGUCCAACAUGAUUCUAUUGGUGCAUGAUAAUAGAGAGUAUUUAGUGUAAGGAGGUUAGAUGUAGCGUCGUCACCGGUCUUUGCCGUAAUUGUUAAGGGUUGAUAGGAGUUAUGUACCAUGCCUGUACUCUGAAAGCUUUCUGCACUCCAAAUACAUUGCAAACAGGUUGGAAAGAGAUGUAAAAAUGUGUCCUAACCGCUUCAAUGACGAGAAUGCUGAUGAGCGACGCCAACAUCAGAUACAGCCGGAUUGGGAAACGGCCAAGAACGGAACGGUGUGGUUGCUCAGCAGUAACAGGUGACGCCGACAAUGGAGCUACGUCACGGCCUAUUGUGUCCCCAAAGCUGUUGACAUCACAGAACGAUUACGUCAACAAUCACUUGACGUCAUCAUCAAAUCUGGCUGUCAGCACGGAACACGGCAGGCGGGCUUGUUGCUGCCGUCAGACACGCCUGGUUUACACAGGCCAAUACUGACGAGAUAUGGACUCGAGUUCGACUCAGGUUGGAAAGAGAUGUAAAAAUGUGUCCUAACCGCUUCAAUGACGAGAAUGCUGAUGAGCGACGCCAACAUCAGAUACAGCCGGAUUGGGAAACGGCCAAGAACGGAACGGUGUGGUUGCUCAGCAGUAACAGGUGACGCCGACAAUGGAGCUACGUCACGGCCUAUUGUGUCCCCAAAGCUGUUGACAUCACAGAACGAUUACGUCAACAAUCACUUGACGUCAUCAUCAAAUCUGGCUGUCAGCACGGAACACGGCAGGCGGGCUUGUUGCUGCCGUCAGACACGCCUGGUUUACACAGGCCAUUACUGACGAGAUAUGGACUCGAGUUCGACUCAGGUAAACCAGACCCUCUAUUCCCUGCUUGAAAUACAGUCUAGAGUCGCAUUUGAACAAGACAUACACGCUAUAAACUGGCAUGAGCGUGUAUCCAGGGCUUGGUCAUGCGUCUGUCGGUGGUGAAUCGCGCUUGUUGCGCAUUUGUCCUAUUGUGAAAACAUGUUGACAAAUUCGGAGUGGAUAUCUGUUUAUAAGCCCAGUCUGAAACAUUGUUGUUACCGGUAGGGCAGGGCAUGCUUACCCUUUCGCGAACACCUGGUGUCAUCAUUGAUUUUUAGUCAUCCAUUCAUAUAAUUUUCACCACUAGUUUGCCAUUUACGCUCAAUGGAAUGUGUUUGGGCGGAUAAUUGAGACUGAUUGUUCUCUGGCGUUGACGUUAUAUAUUUACACGUUUGUCCAACUAUUUGCGCUUAUGAAAUCAUGCAUCAUGUGAUAAUAUUAAUAUAAAGUGAUUACAGCAG